rnacentral:rRNA from 1 species
CAGCAGUACCGCGGUAAUACGGAGGGUGCAAGCGUUAAUCGGAAUUACUGGGCGUAAAGCGCACGCAGGCGGUCUGACAAGUCAGAUGUGAAAUCCCCGGGCUUAACCUGGGAACUGCAUUUGAAACUGUCAGGCUGGAGUCUUGUAGAGGGGGGUGGAAUUCCAGGUGUAGCGGUGAAAUGCGUAGAGAUCUGGAGGAAUACCGGUGGCGAAGGCGGCCCCCUGGACAAAGACUGACGCUCAGGUGCGAAAGCGUGGGGAGCAAACAGGAUUAGAUACCCGAGUAGUCCCUGUCUCUUAUACC